UACGUAGGGGGCAAGCGUUGUCCGGAAUCAUUGGGCGUAAAGAGCGCGUAGGCGGCCCUGUAAGUCCGCUGUGAAAGUCAAGGGCUCAACCCUUGAAUGCCGGUGGAUACUGCAGGGCUAGAGUCCGGAAGAGGCGAGUGGAAUUCCUGGUGUAGCGGUGGAAUGCGCAGAUAUCAGGAGGAACACCAAUAGCGAAGGCAGCUCGCUGGGACGUUACUGACGCUGAGGCGCGAAAGCGUGGGGAGCGAACAGG
rnacentral:rRNA from 1 species